AUACGGAGGGUGCAAGCGUUAAUCGGAAUUACUGGGCGUAAAGCGUGCGCAGGUGGUUUUGUAAGUCAGAUGUGAAAUCCCCGGGCUUAACCUGGGAACUGCGUUUGAAACUGCAAGGCUAGAGUGUGGCAGAGGGGGGUGGAAUUCCGCGUGUAGCAGUGAAAUGCGUAGAUAUGUGGAGGAACACCGAUGGCGAAGGCAGCCCCCUGGGUCAACACUGACGCUCAGGCACGAAAGCAUGGGGAGCAAACAGGAUUAGAAACCCCGGUAGUCC
rnacentral:rRNA from 1 species